GAUGAACGCUGGCGGCGUGCUUAACACAUGCAAGUCGAGCGGAGCUCAAAUGCGGAUCCCUUCGGGGUGGAACAUCUGAGCUUAGCGGCGGACGGGUGCGUAACGCGUGGGUAAUCUGCCCUUGUCACCGGGAUAACACAUCGAAAGGUGUGCUAAUACCGAAUGAAAUACAGACCCGGCAUCGGGACUGUAUCAAAGUCAUGCGGACAAGGAUGAGCCUGCGUCUGAUUAGCUUGUUGGUGGGGUAAAAGCCUACCAAGGCGACGAUCAGUAGCCGACCUGAGAGGGUGAUCGGCCACACUGGAACUGAGACACGGUCCAGACUCCUACGGGAGGCAGCAGUGGGGAAUAUUGCACAAUGGGCGCAAGCCUGAUGCAGCAACGCCGCGUGAGUGAUGAAGGCCUUCGGUCGUAAACUACUGUCCUAAGGGAAGAUAAUGACGGUACCUUAGGAGGAAGCCCGGCUAACUACGUGCCAG
rnacentral:rRNA from 1 species